CCCACGUCUGUUGCAAAAGACGGGGAUGAGCUGUGAUUAGGAGUGAAAAGCUAAUCGAACCCGGAGAUAGCUGGUUCUCCUCGAAAGCUAUUUAGGUAGCGCCUCGGACGAAUACUACUGGGGGUAGAGCACUGUUAUGGCUAGGGGGUCAUCGCGACUUACCAAACCAUUGCAAACUCCGAAUACCAGUACGUACUAUCCGGGAGACACACGGCGGGUGCUAACGUCCGUCGUGAAAAGGGAAACAACCCAGACCCACAGCUAAGGUCCCAAAUUCACUGCUAAGUGGAAAACGAUGUGGAAAGGCAUAGACAGCCAGGAGGUUGGCUUAGAAGCAGCCACCCUUUAAAGAAAGCGUAAUAGCUCACUGGUCGAGUCGGUCUGCGCGGAAGAUUUAACGGGGCUAAGCAGUGAACCGAAGCUUGGGGUGCGUAAAACUUCGGUUUUAUGCGCGGUAGAGGAGCGUUCCGUAAGCCUGCGAAGGUGGAUUGAGAAGUCCGCUGGAGGUAUCGGAAGUGCGAAUGCUGACAUGAGUAACGAUAAUGCGGGUGAAAAGCCCGCACGCCGAAAGCCCAAGGUUUCCUUGCGCAACGUUAAUCGACGCAGGGUUAGUCGGUCCCUAAGGCGAGGGCGAAAGCCGUAGUCGAUGGGAAGCAGGUUAAUAUUCCUGCACCUCGCGUGAGUGCGAUGGAGGGACGGAGAAGGUUAGGUGUACCGGGCGUUGGUUGUCCCGGGGAAAGGCGGUAGGUUUGGAUCUUUGGCAAAUCCGGGAUCCUUUAAGACCGAGCACCGAGACGAGCCUUUAUGGCGAAGUCACUGAUACCACGCUUCCAGGAAAAGCUCCUAAGCUUCAGCUCACGAAGACCGUACCGUAAACCGACACAGGUGGGUAGGAUGAGAAUUCUCAGGCGCUUGAGAGAACUCGGGUGAAGGAACUAGGCAACAUGGCACCGUAACUUCGGGAGAAGGUGCACCCUUUUUGGUGGCUCAUGCGAGCUAUAGCUGAAGAGGGUCGCAGAAACCAGGCCGCUGCGACUGUUUAUCAAAAACACAGCACUCUGCAAACACGAAAGUGGACGUAUAGGGUGUGACGCCUGCCCGGUGCUGGAAGGUUAAUUGAUGGGGUCAGCCGCAAGGCGAAGCUCUUGAUCGAAGCCCCAGUAAACGGCGGCCGUAACUAUAACGGUCCUAAGGUAGCGAAAUUCCUUGUCGGGUAAGUUCCGACCUGCACGAAUGGCGUAACGACAGCGGCGCUGUCUCCACCCGAGACUCAGUGAAAUUGAAAUCGCUGUGAAGAUGCAGCGUCCCCGUGGCAAGACGGAAAGACCCCGUGAACCUUUACUAUAGCUUUACACUGAACGUUGAGUUCGUCUGUGUAGGAUAGGUGGGAGGCUAUGAAACUGUGGCGCUAGCUGCAGUGGAGCCAUCCUUGAAAUACCACCCUGUCGUGCUUGACGUUCUAACCUAGAUCCGUUAUCCGGAUCAGGGACCGUGUAUGGUGGGUAGUUUGACUGGGGCGGUCUCCUCCUAAAGAGUAACGGAGGAGCACGAAGGUACGCUCAGCGCGGUCGGACAUCGCGCACUGUGUGCAAAGGCAUAAGCGUGCUUGACUGCAAGAUCGACGGAUCAAGCAGGUACGAAAGUAGGUCUUAGUGAUCCGGUGGUUCUGUAUGGAAGGGCCAUCGCUCAACGGAUAAAAGGUACUCCGGGGAUAACAGGCUGAUACCGCCCAAGAGUUCAUAUCGACGGCGGUGUUUGGCACCUCGAUGUCGGCUCAUCACAUCCUGGGGCUGUAGUCGGUCCCAAGGGUAUGGCUGUUCGCCAUUUAAAGUGGUACGCGAGCUGGGUUCAGAACGUCGUGAGACAGUUCGGUCCCUAUCUGCCAUGGGCGUUGGAAGUUUGAGAGGGGCUGCUCCUAGUACGAGAGGACCGGAGUGGACGAACCUCUGGUGUUCCGGUUGUCACGCCAGUGGCAUUGCCGGGUAGCUAUGUUCGGAAGCGAUAACCGCUGAAAGCAUCUAAGCGGGAAGCGCGCCUCAAGAUGAGACUUCCCGGGGCACAAGCCCCCUAAAGGAACCAUAUAGACUAUGUGGUUGAUAGGUCAGGUGUGUAAGUACAGCAAUGUAUUGAGCUAACUGAUACUAAUGAUCCGUGCGGCUUGACCAU
rnacentral:rRNA from 1 species